rnacentral:rRNA from 1 species
CAGGCCUAACACAUGCAAGUCGAACGAGAAAGUGGAGCAAUCCAUAAGUACAGUGGCGUACGGGUGAGUAACACGUGACUAACCUACCCUCGAGUGGGGAAUAACCUCGGGAAACCGGGGCUAAUACCGCAUAACAUCUACGGAUCAAAUGCGUAAGCAGCUUGAGGAGGGGGUCGCGGCCGAUUAGCUAGUUGGCGGGGUAAUGGCCCACCAAGGCAAUGAUCGGUAGCCGGCCUGAGAGGGCGCACGGCCACACUGGAACUGAAACACGGUCCAGACUCCUACGGGAGGCAGCAGUGGGGAAUUUUGCGCAAUGGGGGAAACCCUGACGCAGCAACGCCGCGUGGAGGAUGAAGCCCUUUGGGGCGUAAACUCCUUUCGAUCGGGACGAUUAUGACGGUACCGGAAGAAGAAGCACCGGCUAACUCUGUGCCAGCAGCCGCGGUAAUAC